GGUUGUGGCUCAGUGGUAGAGCACUCGCCUUGCAUGUGUGUGAGACCCUGGGUUCGAUCCUCAGUACCA
rnacentral:tRNA from 1 species